rnacentral:rRNA from 1 species
CGCUAGCUACAGGCUUAACACAUGCAAGUCGAGGGGCAGCAUUUUAGUUUGCUUGCAAACUAGAGAUGGCGACCGGCGCACGGGUGAGUAACACGUAUCCAACCUGCCGAUAACUCGGGGAUAGCCUUUCGAAAGAAAGAUUAAUAUCCGAUAGUAUAUUAAAACCGCAUGGUUUUACUAUUAAAGAAUUUCGGUUAUCGAUGGGGAUGCGUUCCAUUAGUUUGUUGGCGGGGUAACGGCCCACCAAGACUACGAUGGAUAGGGGUUCUGAGAGGAAGGUCCCCCACAUUGGAACUGAGACACGGUCCAAACUCCUACGGGAGGCAGCAGUGAGGAAUAUUGGUCAAUGGACGAGAGUCUGAACCAGCCAAGUAGCGUGAAGGAUGACUGCCCUAUGGGUUGUAAACUUCUUUUAUAUGGGAAUAAAGUAUUCCACGUGUGGGAUUUUGUAUGUACCAUAUGAAUAAGGAUCGGCUAACUCCAUGCCAGCAGCCGCGGUAAUACGGAGGAUCCGAGCGUUAUCCGGAUUUAUUGGGUUUAAAGGGAGCGUAGGUGGAUUGUUAAGUCAGUUGUGAAAGUUUGCGGCUCAACCGUAAAAUUGCAGUUGAAACUGGCAGUCUUGAGUACAGUAGAGGUGGGCGGAAUUCGUGGUGUAGCGGUGAAAUGCUUAGAUAUCACGAAGAACUCCGAUUGCGAAGGCAGCUCACUAGACUGCAACUGACACUGAUGCUCGAAAGUGUGGGUAUCAAACAGGAUUAGAUACCCUGGUAGUCCACACAGUAAACGAUGAAUACUCGCUGUUUGCGAUAUACAGUAAGCGGCCAAGCGAAAGCAUUAAGUAUUCCACCUGGGGAGUACGCCGGCAACGGUGAAACUCAAAGGAAUUGACGGGGGCCCGCACAAGCGGAGGAACAUGUGGUUUAAUUCGAUGAUACGCGAGGAACCUUACCCGGGCUUAAAUUGCAUUUGAAUAAUCUGGAAACAGGUUAGCCGCAAGGCAAAUGUGAAGGUGCUGCAUGGUUGUCGUCAGCUCGUGCCGUGAGGUGUCGGCUUAAGUGCCAUAACGAGCGCAACCCUUAUCUUUAGUUACUAACAGGUCAUGCUGAGGACUCUAGAGAGACUGCCGUCGUAAGAUGUGAGGAAGGUGGGGAUGACGUCAAAUCAGCACGGCCCUUACGUCCGGGGCUACACACGUGUUACAAUGGGGGGUACAGAAGGCAGCUACCUGGUGACAGGAUGCUAAUCCCAAAAACCUCUCUCAGUUCGGAUCGAAGUCUGCAACCCGACUUCGUGAAGCUGGAUUCGCUAGUAAUCGCGCAUCAGCCAUGGCGCGGUGAAUACGUUCCCGGGCCUUGUACACACCGCCCGUCAAGCCAUGAAAGCCGGGGGUACAAGAAGUACGUAACCGCAAGGAGCGUCCUAGGGUAAAACCGG